rnacentral:rRNA from 1 species
UACGUAGGGGGCUAGCGUUGUCCGGAAUCAUUGGGCGUAAAGCGCGUGUAGGCGGUUCGGUAAGUCCGCUGUGAAGGUCGGGGGCUCAACCCUCGGAUGCCGGUGGAUACUGUCGGGCUUGAGUACGGAAGAGGCGAGUGGAAUUCCUGGUGUAGCGGUGAAAUGCGCAGAUAUCAGGAGGAACACCAAUUGCGAAGGCAGCUCGCUGGGACGUUACUGACGCUGAGACGCGAAAGCGUGGGGAGCAAACAGG